GACGUAGGUGGCGAACGUUAUCCGGAAUCAUUGGGCGUAAAGGGUGCGUAGAUGGUCUGACAAGUUAGCGGUGGUAAAUCGAGGCCUAACCUCGUGGAAGCUGGUAAUACUGUCAAACUAGAGGACCGGAGAGGUUAACGGAACUCCCGGUGGAGCGGUAAAAUGCACAGAUAUCGGGAAGAACACCAAUAGCGAAGGCAGCUUGCUGGGACGUUACUGACGCUAAGGCGCGAAAGCGUGGGGAGCGAACAGG
rnacentral:rRNA from 1 species